rnacentral:rRNA from 1 species
CAGCAGCCGCGGUAAUACGUAGGUGGCAAGCGUUGUCCGGAAUUAUUGGGCGUAAAGGGCUCGCAGGCGGUUUCUUAAGUCUGAUGUGAAAGCCCCUGGCUCAACCGUGGAGGGUCAUUGGAAACUGUUAAACUUGAGUGCAGGAGAGAAAAGUGGAAUUCCUAGUGUAGCGGUGAAAUGCGUAGAGAUUAGGGGGAACACCAGUGGCGAAGGCGGCUUUUUGGCCUGUAACUGACACUGAGGCGCGAAAGCGUGGGGAGCAAACAGGAUUAGAUACCCCAGUAGUCCCUGUCUCUUAUAC